UAACACGUGAGCAACCUGCCCCUGACUCUGGGAUAAGCGCUGGAAACGGCGUCUAAUACUGGAUACGAGUAGCGAUCGCAUGGUCAGUUACUGGAAAGAUUUUUUGGUUGGGGAUGGGCUCGCGGCCUAUCAGCUUGUUGGUGAGGUAAUGGCUCACCAAGGCGUCGACGGGUAGCCGGCCUGAGAGGGUGACCGGCCACACUGGGACUGAGACACGGCCCAGACUCCUACGGGAGGCAGCAGUGGGGAAUAUUGCACAAUGGGCGGAAGCCUGAUGCAGCAACGCCGCGUGAGGGAUGACGGCCUUCGGGUUGUAAACCUCUUUUAGCAGGGAAGAAGCGAGAGUGACGGUACCUUGCAGAAAAAAGCGCCGGCUAACUACGUGCCAGCAGCCGCGGUAAAUACGUAGGGCGCAAGCG
rnacentral:rRNA from 1 species